rnacentral:rRNA from 1 species
AUUGAACGCUGGCGGCAUGCCUUACACAUGCAAGUCGAACGGCAGCACGGGAGCAAUCCUGGUGGCGAGUGGCGAACGGGUGAGUAAUAUAUCGGAACGUGCCCAGUCGUGGGGGAUAACGUAGCGAAAGCUACGCUAAUACCGCAUACGAUCUACGGAUGAAAGCGGGGGAUCGCAAGACCUCGCGCGAUUGGAGCGGCCGAUAUCAGAUUAGGUAGUUGGUGAGGUAAAGGCGCACCAAGCCGACGAUCUGUAGCUGGUCUGAGAGGACGACCAGCCACACUGGGACUGAGACACGGCCCAGACUCCUACGGGAGUCAGCAGUGGGGAAUUUUGGACAAUGGGCGCAAGCCUGAUCCAGCAAUGCCGCGUGCAGGAUGAAGGCCUUCGGGUUGUAAACUGCUUUUGUACGGAACGAAACGGCGAACUCUAAUACAGUUUGCUAAUGACGGUACCGUAAGAAUAAGCACCGGCUAACUACGUGCCAGCCGCCGCAGUAA